AUGACGACGCGAGAAGGGCUCUAUUGCCGAGGAACGCUGGAACGCCGGCGACCCGGACGGACGAGAUGUUGCGGGGCAGCCACGCGGGGUAGCUCGAGCCACACACGACCUCUCAUACUCCUAUUCCCUGCUCCCCAGCUAUCUCCUCCACCGGUGCGGUCACCACCGGCCACCUCGCUGACGCGCGCGUCGCCCCCUUCCUCAAGAAGCUGCUCCAUGCCACGCUCAUGCUCCCCGCCGUGCACCACCUUUCCACUCCCGCAAGCUACACACCCACUACAGGCUGACCCGAUACACCAAGCGAAACAGCAGGACGAACCGAAGCACCAAGGCGGCCAACCACAGCCCCACGCAGCCGAGGAGGUCGACAUGAACGCCGCGGGCCAUUACGGCUAG
rnacentral:rRNA from 1 species